rnacentral:rRNA from 1 species
CUUAACACAUGCAAGUCGAACGRUGAAGUAGGAGCUUGCUCUUGUGGAUCAGUGGCGAACGGGUGAGUAACACGUGAGCAACCUGCCCCUGACUCUGGGAUAAGCGCUGGAAACGGCGUCUAAUACUGGAUAUGUGACGUGACCGCAUGGUCUGCGUUUGGAAAGAUUUUUCGGUUGGGGAUGGGCUCGCGGCCUAUCAGCUUGUUGGUGAGGUAAUGGCUCACYAAGGCGUCGACGGGUAGCCGGCCUGAGAGGGUGACSGGCCACACUGGGACUGAGACACGGCCCAGACUCCUACGGGAGGCAGCAGUGGGGAAUAUUGCACAAUGGGCGAAAGCUGAUGCAGCAACGCCGCGUGAGGGAUGACGGCCUUCGGGUUGUAAACCUCUUUUAGCAGGGAAGAAGCGAAAGUGAGGGUACCUGCAGAAAAAGCGCCGGCUAACUACGUGCCAGCAGCCGCGGUAAUACGUAGGGCGCAAGCGUUAUCCGGAAUUAUUGGGCGUAAAGAGCUCGUAGGCGGUUUGUCGCGUCUGCUGUGAAAUCCCGAGGCUCAACCUCGGGCCUGCAGUGGGUACGGGCAGACUAGAGUGCGGUAGGGGAGAUUGGAAUUCCUGGUGUAGCGGUGGAAUGCGCAGAUAUCAGGAGGAACACCGAUGGCGAAGGCAGAUCUCUGGGCCGUAACUGACGCUGAGGAGCGAAAGGGUGGGGAGCAAACAGGCUUAGAUACCCUGGUAGUCCACCCCGUAAACGUUGGGAACUAGUUGUGGGGUCCAUUCCACGGAUUCCGUGACGCAGCUAACGCAUUAAGUUCCCCGCCUGGGGAGUASGGSCGCAAGGCUAAAACUCAAAGGAAUUGACGGGGACCGCACAAGCGGCGGAGCAUGCGGAUUAAUUCGAUGCAACGCGAAGAACCUUACCAAGGCUUGACAUAUACGAGAACGGGCCAGAAAUGGUCAACUCUUUGGACACUCGUAAACAGGUGGUGCAUGGUUGUCGUCAGCUCGUGUCGUGAGAUGUUGGGUUAAGUCCCGCAACGAGCGCAACCCUCGUUCUAUGUUGCCAGCACGUAAUGGUGGGAACUCAUGGGAUACUGCCGGGGUCAACUCGGAGGAAGGUGGGGAUGA